CCUGGAACCUGUGUUAAAAGCAAAAGACGGGUUAGUGACUAGCGUUUAGAGCUGUUGGAGAAAUUAAUUGUCGAGAGCGUGUUAACUGGUAGUCCUGAAACGAGGUCACAUUUCUGGCUAUAAAAAUGGACUUUAAGGCAUAGGAGAGACUGCCCCUGCUCCUCCAAGGAGCUUGCUUGCGUGUUAAAGAGGGAGGGCCUUUGACUGUGCAGCGACUGCCUUUGGAAGGCUUAGGAGUAUACGGAUGGCAAAGUGCCUAUGGCUGAGCCUCAAGUCACUGCACAAAGACAUGAGGGGUUCAAUCGUCUGCCAGAAUGAGCUAGGGAAAGGGCAGAGAGGUUUCAGCAGCAGAGGGCCAGCAGGCAACAGUAGCUUACGUCUCCAGAGUGUAGUUGUGAAGCCUUAGGAGGUAGAAUCUGUAGGCGGGAGAGACAGCAUGGAAGGGAAGAGGUCUUCUGGCUUCUGUUGAGACCGGUGGAACAGAAAUGGGCCUGGCACAGGCAGAAGAUUCAGGGCCAGUGAGACCACCAAGCCUGACGCCCACAUGGUGGGAAGGGAGAACUGACUCCACAAGUUGUUCUCUGACCCCCAUCCAUGCGCCCCCUCCACAUGGAAUAAAGUAUAAACGAAGUCGUUCUUUUAAAAAAUCCAGUUUCAAAAUAUCUGUGGGGACAGGACAUCUCAGAGCCCCAGGAGUUCGGAUGUACGUUGGCCCAGAAAACCCAUGGAGUCUGAAUUCUCUUCUCUGGCAUGGCUGUGGGGGUACCGUGUCCGUUGGCAAUGCCAACCAGGCACACUCGACGUCCCAGGACUGACGCUCAGUGGAGGCAGAUAAUGCCCCUCCUCAUCCUGAACUCCAUUUCCCAGAAUCCUCUCUGCCCCCGCGAGAGAGACAGGCGCACUGUCCAUUCUCACGGACCCUUGACGUGAGUGGGAAUCCGCAGACGUCCCAACAGGCACUGUCGUGGAUGCCACGGAGAGAGGCGCAGGCACUACGUGGAGCACAUAAAUAAUUAUGCAGGAAUGCAGAAACGUAAGCUUGAUCCUUGAAGCAUUUGGCAAUACACCCAGCACCGUGCCGGAGGCCCCGCGUCCCUGUAACCUGAAUAUCCGCUGUACGUGAUAUCAUUAUCCUUCGUUGACUUAGGACAAUGGGGACUCAGAAGGGAUCCCUAUGCCUACCCAAGGUCACGGCUUACAAGUAUCAGGCUGAGAGAAUGAACUUGGACCUGAAGCCUCUGCUCCUUCAUCAGUCUGCCACCUCCCAGGGCCUCAACUUACCUUUAGAGGGUGGCAGUUAAGAAGCUUGUUCUAGGGACUGGAGAGAUGGUUCAGUGGUUGGGAGCACUGGCUGCUGCUCUUCCAGAGGUCCUGAGUCCAGUUCCCAGCACCCACAGGGUGGCUCACAACCAUAGGUAAUGGGAUCCGAUGCCCUCUGCUGUCGUGCAGGCGUACAUGCAGACAGAGCACUUUAUACAUUAAAUAAACAAACAAACAAACAAACAAACAAACAAAUAAUCAAGUUCAGUUCCAUCCUCAGGAGCUUGAAUCUUGGACUCACAUUUUUUUCAUUGGUUCUAACCCUGGACCUCUCCUUUCAUGCUGGGAUCAACCCGUGCUGCCCAAUCUGUUCAGAGGGUACAGGGGAGCAGAGCCACCUAAGGAAGAGAAUUACCCCACGGUGCAUGGAAUGUGCACCCAGGCAGUAAAAAGGCCCUUGCCAGUUCACAUGAAGUUCACAUUUAGCAGGCUUUCUAUGUGGAUGCUGGGGCUUGAGCUCGGUUCCAAAGCUUGGAACAUCACUUUGCUGACACUGAGCGCGCUCUCUCUCUCUCUCUCUCUCUCUCUCUCUCUCUCUCUCUCUCUCUCUCUCUGUCUCUCUCUCUCUCUCUCCUUGUUUAUCUCGGAGAAAUGAGCCCCUCAUUCGAGGCUCAGAUAUCCAGCAGAUGUCUUCCAUCCCCUCCCCCCACCCCAGACGCAUCAGGUGUAAGCUCCCUCCUUCACUCAACUCACAUUUGAACAUGAUAUCUUAGCUGGUGGGUCUUCGACCUACUUCCAGUGAUCCUGAGGUCUGCCUUGCUGCUUGCCAGUCUCCAGUUCCAUCACGAAUUCCAGCAUAUUCUGGAAUUUCCAGGACCUGUUCCUUCUGUCUAGAACACUCUUUCCCUCCACUCUGCCUUUCUUCUGGAAGCCCAUCCCCCACACCCCAACCUUCUCCCAUGACCCAACCCUCCCCAUCACAUCUUGUGCUUCUUUUUAAAAUAAAAUAUUUGUAUUGAUUCUUGAGGAUUUAAAACAUGUACACAAUGCAUUUUGAACACACACACACAUAGGUGAGAUGUCUGAGGGCUGGAGUAAAGCUGUUCACCCAUUGGUGGCCAAGGACAGAGACAGACAGACAGUGGAACUGGGAGGACCUACUUCCUAUACUAAAUUCACCCUUGAAAAUCUCUGUUGCUCCCCAGCAGCACACUGGGUUAUGAAUUCAUCUCUGUUAAUCCAUACACAUGGCCAGAGCCUACCCUGGUUGAUUGAUUGAUUGAUGAUUGAUUGAUUGAUGAUUGAUUGAUUUCUUUUUUUGAGACACUCUCCUGUCUCUCAGGCUGGCCUUGAACUCACUGUGUAGCAGAGGACAGUCUUGAACUUCUGAUCCCUUUGUUUCCACCUUCUGAAUACUGGGAUCACCCAGGUUUCAUGCCCAUUGGGUAGCAGCACUCUGACCACUGAACUAUAUCUCCAGUCCUCCCACUCUAAUGUAUGUUCCCUGCAGCUGGAGGGCGCAGGGAGCAAAGUCACUCCAGCUGAGAACAGUCAUCCUUUUUGGGAGAGGAAGGUGAGGGGACAACACAAUCUGGAACGGAUACAUUGAGGAUGCAGGCUGAGGAAUGGGCUUGGUGUGGCUAUAGCCGCAGCCGGCUCUGGAUGGUGUGUGAACAGCAAGGCUUGGCGGGCGAGAGUGGAAGGGCUCAGGGAACUGCCAGGGCAGGCUGAGCCAUGCUCACUUACUUACCAGCCUUGACCCCUGAACUCUGGGCUUUUCCUGGAAUUUCCGUCAUAAGGAUGUGCAUCAGGGCAAGGCCUGGAGCCAUGGGCCUGUUUCAGAGGCGUGCACAUCUUUCUCUAUACUCUGCUAAGUGUUUAGCAGGUAUUGAGUGUGCCGUGUGCCUGAGAUCACCAGGGGAGUCAGUCGGGAUCCUGUUUAAUGUUGCCUUCACCUGGAACGAAGAUCUCCAACAGACUCCUUGUUUGGCCUGGAGCUCACGUAUUAGGCUGACGAACCGGAAAACCUCAGUGACCUUGGCCUCUGCCUCGCCCGUGUUAGGAUCUCAAGCACGCAGCACCUUGCCGGGAGCCAUCGUUGUUGCUGUUUUAAAAUAAGCGCACUACAGAUCAAAUGAGGGUCUUCAUAUCUGCGUGGCAGGCGCUUUACCGACUCAGCCAUCUCUCUCGAACCUUCCGAACCUUCCGUAUUUCAUCCCAGCAAUCGGAUAAACAACUGAAAUGCAAGAGGAGCCCAGGGGAUCCGAGGAGCAGCCAAAGGGUGCCAGGUGGGUCACGGCUCCAGAGGCUGACACCUCUACACAACUCUGCGCAUGCCUCGAAGGGUCGUCACUGAGCUCCCAGCCCUCAACUCCAACCUGACUGGGCCCUCUGUGCAGAUGGGAGACCCUAUCCCAGCAGCCGCGCUGCCUGAAGCCCCCUGCGCUGCCAGCAAUAUUUAAAUUCGCUCUGCUGGGCUAAGUGGUACCCUGCAAAACCCUGGCUUUGAUUCCUCGCGCAAGAAAAUUUUUGCUCAAGCUGGUUCAUCGACAAUAGCUGGAAAUUAUAAGUUUGGUGCCAUUAAAUUAGAAAUAUAAA